rnacentral:rRNA from 1 species
AACGAACGCUGGCGGCAUGCCUAACACAUGCAAGUCGAACGAGACCUUCGGGUCUAGUGGCGCACGGGUGCGUAACGCGUGGGAACCUGCCCUUAGGUUCGGCAUAACUCCCCGAAAGGGGUGCUAAUACCGGAUAAUGUCUUCGGACCAAAGAUUUAUCGCCGUUGGAUGGGCCCGCGUUGGAUUAGCUAGUUGGUAGGGUAAAAGCCUACCAAGGCGACGAUCCAUAGCUGGUCUGAGAGGAUGAUCAGCCACACUGGGACUGAGACACGGCCCAGACUACUACGGGAGGCAGCAGUGGGGAAUAUUGGACAGUGGGCGAAAGCCUGAUCCAGCAAUGCCGCGUGAGUGAUGAAGGCCUUAGGGUUGUAAAGCUCUUUUACCCGGGAUGAUAAUGACAGUACCGGGAGAAUAAGCUCCGGCUAACUCCGUG